rnacentral:lncRNA from 1 species
UGUAUUUUCCAGAUUGGUCCAAUUUUGGUAAAAUUACGUUUUGGUCCCUGUUUUGGAAAAUUGUCGUUUUAGUCCAUAAACUUAGGAGAAUAAACCUGAUUUUAUUUUAUGCAUUGGGAUCUCUUGUUUGAGUUGCUUUUGAGUAUUUUUCAUAUUGUUGUAGGUUCUCCUAACAAUCCUCAAUAGGAUUUUCGGGUCUUUCGUCUGACAUUCCUUUAGUUCUAUAUUUUUCGGGUGAGUGGGAUAAUCUUUAAUAUGCAUAUAUGAUAAGUAAAUAUGUAUGUUGAUUAUACAAUGAGUACAACUCGUUAAUUUCUUGAAUAAUUAUAUAUGUUGCUUAUUUUCCGAGUACUCAUUUAUUCUUGAAUUUGCACUCGCAAUCUGUCAAAGUAAAUUCUAUUUGAUAUGAUAUACGUUUCUUUGAUGAUUAUGUGAAUAUCUAUUAUGCCUUGAUAUGGGACUUGUCAGUAACUCCAUGCUAACGGAGAGUAGUUAGCCUAUGUGCAUAUAGUAUUUUGUAAACCUAGCUGGUGAGAGAGGCAUCAGCCUGUGGCGACUGAUCAUCCCACAGUGGUCACCUUCGGGUGUCAUCUGGUCUGGUCACCUUCGGGUGUCAUCUGGUCACCUUUGGGUGUCAUCUGAUCUCUGACAUGUAGUCCACUACGUUAUGAUGAUAUGUUUAGUAUGUAUAUGAUAUGUUCAGUAUGUAUAUGUAUAUGUAUAUCAAGAUAAAGGAUCUUGCGAACUAUUAAUAUCAAGAAUAUCUAAAAUGUAUAUUAAUUAUUAUUCCCUCACUGAGUUGGUUGAACUCACCCCUCAUUCUUAAUAUUAUUUCAGGUUCUUAGUUUCUGAUAGCAGGUGAACCUUGUUGAGUGUUCCUGCUUCUUCAGUUUAGGGUCGGUAUGCCUUGCUUAUCUUUCAAGGCUGUUUGAUUCGAUGUCUUAGGUGCUCCAUUAUUACCUUGUUUUGAUUAAGUUUGGAUUUUGACAACGUAAUGAGUAUUAUGGAUUAUUGUUUUUGUUUUAAUUACUGAUGAGGAGUUUUAAACUAUCUUUUGGUUUCAUCAGUUUUGAAUAAUAUAAGAUUUCUGAAGAUUAUGAAAUACUGCGUAUUUUUGAAUAAAUUAUUCCUUUGAUAUGUCCGUUUUGAGGCUUAGCGCGGGCGGGGUGUCCUUCCGGCACCGCUCCUGCGUUGCCGGUCACGGACCCGGGAUUCGGGUCGUGACAAAGGUGGUAUCAGAGCCCGGUUUUUUAUUAAAACCUCAUAACCUGUUUUAUUUAUUUAAAACCCUCGUAAUAUGUGGAGCUUAGGAUCUAUCUUGUCUUGAUGUCAUUCCUCUUAUAAUUCUCCAAUCUAGUGUUUGGUGUGUCCUCCUUAAAACUCCUUUAUAGUUAUGUUGAUACAUAUAUAUAAAUGCAUUUUUUUUAGGAAAUAUGUCGAGAGCUAAACAUGUAGUUAAUGCCGAUUAUGUCGGUAAUGAUCAAGAGGACAUUCCUAUCGCUCAGCUUAGGAAGGAGAGGCGCAAAAAGAGGGUUAGAACCCCUUCGC